rnacentral:sRNA from 1 species
UAUCGCUGCCCUCCUUGGGCGUUUCCUCCCUAGACUUGGGCCGCCUCUUGCAAAAGAGAGCGGCCCCUUUUCUUUUCCGGC